rnacentral:rRNA from 1 species
GAUGAACGCUGGCGGCGUGCAUAAUACAUGCAAGUCGAGCGAAUGGAUUAAGAGCUUGCUCUUAUGAAGUUAGCGGCGGACGGGUGAGUAACACGUGAGCAGCCUGCCCAUAAGACUGGGAUAACUCCGGGCAGCCGGGGCUAAUACCGGAUAACAUUUUCAACCUCGUGGUUCGAAAUUGAAAGGCUGCUUCUGCUGGCACUUAUGGAUGGACCCGCGUCGCAUUAGCUAGUGGGUGAGGUAACGGCUCACCAAGGCAACGAUGGGUAGCCGACCUGAGAAGGUGAUCGGCCACACUGGGACUGAGACACGGCCCAGACUCCUACGGGGGGCAGCAGUAGGGAAUCUUCCGCAAUGUGCGAAAGUCUGACGGAGCAACGCCGCGUGAGUGAUGAAGGCUUUCGGGUCGUAAAACUCUGUUGUUAGGGAAGAACAAGUGCUAGUUGAAUAAGCUGGCACCUUGACGGUACCUAACCAGAAAGCCACGGCUAACUACGUGCCAGCCGCCGCUGUAA